GCAUGCUCAGUGGGCGGUGGCCGCGGGGGCGUUGCGGGACAUUCCCUCCCCACCCCCCGACUCCCUCCACAGGCCGCGGGGUGGCCACUGUCGUGGGCCGCGGGCCACUUGGGCUUUGUCCAGAGGGCUGCGCGGCCGGCGAGGCUGAAACCUUAGAAGGAACUGAACUCUAAUGACACCGAGGUGGGGGCGGGGAGGCGGCGACAGAGAAGGCACGGAGCCAAGGGAGGAGGGCAGCGGGAGCGAGCCCUGCACCCGCCGCCGCACCGCGGUGCACCACACAGGCGGGCCUCGGGGCUGAAGAGCUACCUGGGCGCCUGUGAAAAGACGAGUUCUGCACCCGGCUCCACUCCCCUCUUCCUGCCCGAUACUCCGUCGGUCCAGGAAUAGGCACUUUUGUUCCGCACCUGUGGGCAGUUCUGAUGCACGUUUUGAGGAAGUGCUAAAAUGUCAUUAGUAUGAGAAAGCCAUCAGCAAUUUCUGACCUCCAAAUACGAAUCCCAAACUGCAAUCCUCUGGAUGUUGCUACCCCAACCCCGCCUUUGAUUGCUCAGGAGCUGGGGGAAAUGCAAGUUGACAGGUUGUGCACAGGGCUUGAUACAUUGAGCUGUGGACGUUUACCUGGCCAGAGGUGAAUUGCUUCUGCCUGAUGAAAGACAGCCCUGCCUGGAUCAGCACACACCUUUCCUCACUGUAAUUCCUGCUUUUUACUCUAAAGGAAGAACUGUCACACAACAUUUUAAAUCAACCAUACUCCAAU
ensembl:lncRNA